ACCACUAUGUGCUGCUACGCUGGAACCACCACAGCGACCACGAACAGCCCUGAAGUAGCCCACUCAAGUGUGAGGGAGGCUGCACCGCUUAUCAAUUAUGUGCCCACUGACAGAGAGGUAUCAUAAACCUCUGGUAUGCUUUGUCUUGAAGAUAUAUUGUUUUGCUUUUUAAUGAGAAAAUGUGCAUUGACAAACUAAUGUGUGCACAUCAUCUUGGACUUGUUUUAUAGGUGCAUCGGAGCAAAGGAAUUGCCGUUCCCAAGAGGUUGUACAAUCACCCCGUGGGCUUGAAAAGACAGACCCAUUUUGUUCGUGAGGCGGCCGUUACCAUUUUUCAUACAGCAGGCCAAGUCGGUAGAAGUGUUACUGGUGCAGCCUCCAAUCGGUCUAAAGGGGAGGCGAAAUCUCCCUAGGAGAAAGAAACAUAUGCUGUAUUUUCAGAUUUCUUCAACCAUUUUUUUGAAGCACACCGUUCUGAUUGGAAAGGUUGAACAAAUGAAGAAGCUCCUCAAUAAAGCUUUGGCAAACAAAAUUAUUGACUUUAUGAAAUCAAAAGAUUAACCAAGGAAUGGCACAUCAAAUAAAAUAUUUUGUUUGAU